CACUAAAUGUCUGACAGCAAGUAAUGGUCUCUUAAACCAAUUAUAAUAGAUUAGCACCUAUUUUUAGUG
rnacentral:tRNA from 1 species